AAGUCUAGCGGCGAACGGGUGCUUAACACGUGGGCAACCUGCCAGGAAGUGGGGGAUAGCUCGCCGAAAGGAGAAUUAAUACCGCAUGUGAUCAGAGAGGACAUCCUUUCGAAAUUAAAGUCGGGGCAACCUGACGCUUCUUGUGGGGCCCGCGGCCUAUCAGCUAGUUGGUGAGGUAACGGCUCACCAAGGCUUUGACGGGUAGCUGGUCUGAGAGGACG
rnacentral:rRNA from 1 species